UUUUUAUCUUUUUUGCCUCAUGUCACUUAAGCGCAUGCUUGCUCCUUGUGCCUUUAAUAACUAUGGUGUCUAUUAGAAAUGUGGGAGUGUCCUAUGCAGCUUGUAAUGGUAGCUUGAUGGAGAUUCUAUGGGGAAUAUUGACAUAUUGCUAGACAAGACAAAGUGCAACAAUUGAUGUAUUGAGUUAGUAGCAAUUGAUAUAGACUAAGUCAGUGUUGUUAAAGGCGCUCCGAGGCGCUGGGCAAGGUGCCAGGCGAGGUGAGGCGAUCCUCUAGUGCCUCACCUGGCUGUGCCUGGCCUAGAUUGCAUGAGUUGAGCGUCCCAGAGAGAAAGGUGCUAGGCGAGAAGUGAUAGAGGCGAUGCCUUUUUUAUGUAACGUUUACUUCUUUUUUUUAAUUUGUU
rnacentral:misc_RNA from 1 species